ensembl:lncRNA
UAACUUUUGUAAUUUUUCGCAGAGUGCUGCAAGAGACAAGUUCAAGCACUUCAGAAUAAUGGAGAAGGACGAAGGGAGCAAGACUCUCCCUUGUAUUCUCAGACAGGACAUUUUUUCCCAUGAAUUAUCACUCUUCAGGCAUGGUCAGGAGGCUGCUAGUAAACCAGACUCUGAAAACUCAGACUGCUCUGGAGAAAUCAUUAACCUCCAUAGCUGUGGUCAGACUGAGGACACACGGAGAGCAUGGCUUUGUCCAAGACAUACAUCCGGGCCAUCUGACAUAUCCUGUUUUCCUGUGACUCUACUUCACUAAGUUUGGAGAGUAUUGAAUAUGACCUCUUUGGAUAGAUUAGAUAACUAUUAAGCUCCUUCCAUUAGACUAUUCAGGUAUGACCUAAAUCAAAUCACUUAUGAUUAUACAGUGGAAGUGAGAAAUAGAUUCAAGGGACUAGAUCUGAUAGAUA